GUGAGUGGCGCGACGGUGUGAGUAACGCGUGAGGAUCUGCCUUCAGGAGGGGGACAACAUCGGGAAACUGAUGCUAAUACCCCAUAUGCCGAGAGGUGAAAAGUUUUUCGCCUGAAGAUGAGCUCGCGUCUGAUUAGCUAGUUGGUGGAGUAACGGUUCACCAAGGCGACGAUCAGUAGCUGGUCUAAGAGGAUGAUCAGCCACACUGUGACUGAGACACGGCCCAGACUCCUACGGGAGUGCAGAAGUGGGGAAUUUUCCGCAAUGGGGGCAAUCCUGACGGAGCAACGCCGCGUGUGGGAGGACGGCCUUCGGGUUGUAAACCACUUUUCUCAGGGAAGAAGGACUGACGGUACCUGAGGAAUAAGCCUCGGCUAACUCCGUGCCAGCAGACGCGGUAAGACGGAGGAGGCAAGCGUUAUCCGGACUUAUUGGGCGUAAAGCGUCCGCAGGCGGUUAAUUUAACGUCUGCUGUUAAAGCCCACAGCUACAACUGUGGAUCGGCAGUG
rnacentral:rRNA from 1 species